GAUCGUGACGCUUACUGUAUUGUGAUUGGAAUGAUGGGAAUUUAAACCUCUUCCAGAGUAUCAAUUGGAGGGCAAGUCUGGUGCCAGCAGCCGCGGUAAUUCCAGCUCCAAUAGCGUAUAUUAAAAUUGUUGCAGUUAAAAAGCUCGUAGUUGAAUUUCUGCUGCAUUACAUAUCUCUUGUUUGAGUUUGUUUUUGUGGCUUUUUUCGAGUUAAUUUUUCUUCUUCGGGGUUGUAAUAUGCCGCUUAUUUCCCUCUGACUCGCCGUUUUUUUGUUACAAUGGUAGAGGUUUAAAUUUCCACUACUCCUUUUGGAGCCAUUAAGCCGUUUUUUGGUCCUCUCCCCCGAAAGGAGAAGAAAGGAUAGGGUAAUUACUGUGUCUCUUGUCACUACCUCCCUGUGUCAG
rnacentral:rRNA from 1 species